CUGACGCCGGGCGGGUUGGGCUGGCUCGGCUCUCGACCGGUCGAGUCGGGGUGGGGGUCCCCUGCGCGAGG
rnacentral:tRNA from 1 species